rnacentral:rRNA from 1 species
AUAGCGUAUAUUAAAGUUGUUGCAGUUAAAAAGCUCGUAGUUGGAUCUCAGGUGCAGGCGGGCGGUCCGGCUCGCGCCGGUUCACUGCCCGUUGUUUCCUGCCCUACCGUCUGCCGGCUCUCUCCCGCGGGUGCUCUUUGCUGAGCGUCCCGGGUGGCCGGCGCGUUUACUUUGAAAAAAUUAGAGUGUUCAAAGCAGGCCUCGGCUGCCUGAAUAAUGGUGCAUGGAAUAAUGGAAUAGGACCUCGGUUCUAUUUUGUUGGUUUUCGGAACUGGAGGUAAUGAUUAACAGGGACAAACGGGGGCAUUCGUAUUGCGGCGUUAGAGGUGAAAUUCUUGGAUCGCCGCAAGACGAGCUACUG